rnacentral:siRNA from 1 species
AACCGAUACGAACUGCUGCACGGU